GACGUAGGGGGCGAGCGUUGUCCGGAUUUAUUGGGCGUAAAGCGCGCGCAGGCGGCUCGGAAAGUCGGGUGUGAAAACCCGGGGCUCAACCCCGGACCUGCAUCCGAUACUCCCGGGCUAGAGGCAGGUAGGGGAGAGUGGAAUUCCUGGUGUAGCGGUGAAAUGCGCAGAUAUCAGGAAGAACACCCGUGGCGAAGGCGGCUCGCUGGGACGUUACUGACGCUGAGACGCGAAAGCGUGGGGAGCAAACAGG
rnacentral:rRNA from 1 species